rnacentral:rRNA from 1 species
AUACGGAGGAUCCGAGCGUUAUCCGGAUUUAUUGGGUUUAAAGGGUGCGCAGGCGGCCAUUUAAGUCAGCGGUUAAAUCGUGGGGCUCAACCCCAUUCUGCCGUUGAUACUGGGUGGCUUGAUUGCGGUCGAGGUUGGCGGAAUUCGUUGUGUAGCGGUGAAAUGCAUAGAUAUGACGAAGAACACCGAUUGCGUAGGCAGCUGACCAGACCGCAAAUGACGCUCAUGCACGAAAGUGCGGGGAUCGGACAGGAUUAGAUACCCUGGUAGUCCGCACAGUAAACGAUGAAUACUUGUUUUCGGCGAUAUAAUGUCGGAGGCAAAGCGAAAGCGAUAAGUAUUCCACCUGGGGAGUACGCCGGCAACGGUGAAACUCAAAGGAAUUGACGGGG